UACGUAGGCAGCAAGCGUUGUUCGGAGUUACUGGGCGUAAAGAGUGCGUAGGCGGUGUCGCAAGUUUGGCGUGAAAUCUCCCGGCUUAACUGGGAGGGUGCGCCGAAAACUGCGGUGCUGGAGUGUGGGAAAGGCAAGCGGAAUUCCUGGUGUAGCGGUGAAAUGCGUAGAUAUCAGGAGGAACACCGGUGGCGAAGGCGGUUCUCUGGGCCUGUACUGACGCUGAGGAACGAAAGCGUGGGGAGCGAACAGG
rnacentral:rRNA from 1 species